rnacentral:rRNA from 1 species
UAUACCGCCGUCGUCAGCUUACCCUGUGAAGGACAUAAAAGUAAGCAAAAUGGGCACAACCCAGAACGUCAGGUCGAGGUGUAGCGCAUGAAGUGGAAAGAAAUGGGCUACAUUUUCUGCUACAGAAUAUUACGAACAUGUACCAUGAAAUAGUGCUUGAAGGAGGAUUUAGUAAGAAAAGGGAAAUAGAGUGUCCCUUUGAACCCGGCUCUGAGACGCGUACACACCGCCCGUCACUCUCCCCUGUCGAAACGCAUUAAAAAUAUCUAAAACAAAAGCACUGACAAGGGGAGGCAAGUCGUAACACGGUAAGUGUACCGGAAGGUGCACUUGGACCAAACC